rnacentral:rRNA from 1 species
AGUGAACGCUGGCGGCGUGCUUAACACAUGCAAGUCGAACGAGAACGGAUUAUAGCUUGCUAUAAUUGUCAGCUAAGUGGCGCACGGGUGAGUAAUGUAUAGGUAAUAUGCCUCUUACUAAGGGAUAACAAUUGGAAACGAUUGCUAAUACCUUAUAUUCCUUUUUAUCAAAAGAUAAAACGGGAAAGAUUUAUUGGUAAGAGAUUAGCCUGUAUUGUAUCAGUUAGUUGGUGGGGUAAUGGCCUACCAAGAGAAUGACGCAUAACUGGUUUGAGAGGAUGAUCAGUCACACUGGAACUGAGACACGGUCCAGACUCCUACGGGAGGCAGCAGUGGGGAAUAUUGCACAAUGGACGAAAGUCUGAUGCAGCAACGCCGCGUGGAGGAUGACACAUUUCGGUGCGUAAACUCCUUUUAUAUAAGAAGAUAAUGACGGUAUUAUAUGAAUAAGCACCGGCUAACUCCGUGCCAGCCGCCGCCGUAA